GACGAACGCUGGCGGCGUGCUUAACACAUGCAAGUCGAACGGAAAGGCCCUGCUUUUGUGGGGUGCUCGAGUGGCGAACGGGUGAGUAACACGUGAGUAACCUGCCCUUGUCUUUGGGAUAACUUCAGGGAACUGGGGCUAUUACCGGAUAGGAGCUCUUGCUGCAUGGUGGGGGUUGGAAAGUUUCGGCGGUUGGGUAUGGACUCGCGGCUUAUCAGCUUGUUGGUGGGGUAGUGGAUUACAAAGGUUUUGACGGGUAGCCGGCCUGAGAGGGUGACCGGCCACAUUGGGACUGGGGUGCGGCCCAGACUCCGACGGGAGGCAGCAGUGGAGAAUAUUGCACACUGGGCGGAAUCCUGAUGCAGCAACGCCGCGUGCGGGAUGACGGCCUUCGGGUUGUAAACCGCUUUCGCGUGUGACGAAGCGUGAGUGACGGUAAUGGGUAAAGAAGCACCGGCUAACUACGU
rnacentral:rRNA from 1 species